GAGUCCAUCGAGGGGUCAAGUACUUAACCCAGGGCGCACAACUGGUUGGGCUGUGGGGCUCUGUGUCUAAGAAAAGAGCUGGCCGCAGUUACUCGGCUCUGCCUCCAGGGGGCACUCCCGGCUCGGAGCGCUGCCCAGACCUCUCUAACAGCUGUUGCCAAUUUGCCCUUAGAAAAGGCUUAUCUAAACCCCUUUCUUUCAUCCUGUACAAACCCCACCGUAUAAUUAGACUUCUCAAAAUAUGCUCUCUGAGUGGGAGUGAGGCAACGGGGCCGCGGGCUUCUCCCGUUUCACGAGCAGUCUCUAUGGAAUUAACUCCUGGAGCGGAGAGUCACGAGCCACCCCUGCUCCAGCUGGACCCGCGCCUGGCUCAGGCUCACACAGCUUAGGUCAGCUCAGCUCCUGGGACUUAGCAAGUGGCUCAGGGCCUCCUGGGGGACUGGGACCCACCCGGCGUCUUCAGCAUACUCUCAGAUUAGCGGUUCAUGUGAUCUUCCAGGGGAAGGACUUGGGGACACAGGAAGGACCCAGAGGUUGCAGGGGAGGAGGAAAGGCCAGGACCCCCUGGCAGUCAGGGCACCAUGUGCCACCACUUGAAGGCGAAGGGCUUCCUGCGCACGUUGGUGCCACAAUGAACCUCUCCCAGGAACUUGUGGGAUCAUGGAGGGAUAGUCAGAGGUCAGCCCCAACGAGGCGUUGGCUCAGCUCCAGCGGGCCCUGCUCCAGAGAGUGGCUGGGUUGUACCAACUUCUCUGACCUUUAGCCACGAGGGUACCCGUGCAUACGGAACAACAGAGCUAGCACCUGUGACGCCCUGAUCAGCCUGUGCCUGAAAUCCACGCAACCACAGGGCUUUGAACAAACUCCACCCAACCCUGACCAAGGACUCCUGCCCCUUCCCUCAUUUCCAUUGCCUGACUCAGUUGCUCACUGUGACCCACAACCUGAUGGCAAGUUCAGGGCAGAUUCUAAAGAUAAAGCACGCCAUGUCUAGACAAACAACUCCGGGAGAGAGAAACUUCGGGUUUGCACAUAAUCAUAACCGGAGUUAAGUUGCACUUAACUUCCCUCUCACUUCACCUCCUAUAUAAAUCCCAAGAACGCCGUCCUCCUUCCGCAGACAACCCUUUCCUGUUGUGUCUGCCCUCACCGUUUUAAGUAAACAGUCCAGUCUGUUGAGG